rnacentral:rRNA from 1 species
UACGUAGGGUGCAAGCGUUGUCCGGAAUUAUUGGGCGUAAAGAGCUCGUAGGCGGUUUGUCGCGUGUGAAAGCCCCCGGCUCAACUGGGGAGGGUCACGCGAUACUGCUCGACUCGAAGGCAGGAGAGGGAAGUGGAAUUCCCGGUGUAGUGGUGAAAUGCGUAGAUAUUCGGAAGAACACCAGUGGCGAAGGCGACUCACUGGACACGUAUUGACGCUGAGGUGCGAAAGCGUGGGGAGCAAACAGG